UAUACAUCGAUUGGAGAAGCUUCUCACAUACGCUUCUUUUAUACUCUCUCUCUCUCAUUCUCUCAUAAUCGAUUAAACCAUUACUCUGAAACCCUAAGUGGCGAUUCCGCUCCUAACCGUUUCAAUCGAUCAUGUGCGAAUAGGUACAAUCAAUCUUGAAUAAUCAAUAGUGAUCAUCGACGGUAUUGAAUCUGAUAUCUUCUUCUUUUAUGAUUGAUUGAAUGAAACAUCGAUGGUUUUGUUAUGUAUUGAUUGAGUGAAUGAAUGUUAUUUGAAUAUCAAUUUUAGAUUCUUUGUUUGUUAUUGUUUUUUGACACACGAUUUCGUUUUGUUAGGGUUUUAAAAGCUGAUAUCAUGUUGUUUGUUUAUAUGAUUUUGAUUUUCACCUUCAGAUGAUGAAUAGAAAAGGGGUUGAAGGAUGGUAGAUAUUCAUCUGCAACCUCCCUUGCAGCCAUGGUGCUUUCAUUUUUGUGUAAACUCUGAGCCAGACUGUAGCAUCUUUCCGACGAUCGAAGGGAAUUCCGAUAGCCUUAGGGUGAUAAGUACGGAGCUACCGUUGAUUACCAACCUGCUUUUAACAGGGUAAUGUUAUUCACCCAACUGACCCGUUUAACAAUCUUUGAAUAACUGCUGAUCCGAUUAGCUCUUUUGGCUGCAUUUCUGAUAUAUCAAACAUUCAAACUGCUGUUUUGGAUUUGCUGCAUUUUCAUCUCCAUAAGAAACUUCUCAAGCUGUAAUAAACAUGUUUAACUUCAUUUAUGAUAUUGUAAUAUGGAUUUAACGCAUUUUCUUUACUAGGAAGAUGAUUGUUAGCAAAUCGUUGUAUGGGAAGAUGAUUGUGAGCAUUACUUUUCGUUCAGGUUUUAUGGUUUCUUAAUCUUUAAAAGUUUGAACAAUUCUUCCUUCACACACUCCCUUUAUGCAUAUAAAUUCAAAUUCUACAAUGAAAUCAUGAUGUAGAGUACAAACAUGUAGAAUUGGGGAUAGAGGUUCACCCUGAAUGUAAAUUAGAAUCACAGCAAACGACUGAAUUUGAUUAAGUCGUAAUCACGAGAAGUGUUCAAAAGAAACUAUUUAAGGUCAAAAAAACAUGGUUUACUGUGGGUAUUAUCACUUUGCUCAUAAUCAACUCCACCAUUAGUUUCAUUGAAGAAAACAAUGCUGGUAAUGCAGCAGCUGCUCUCAUGGCUAGACUGGCCCCAAGUUGGUUAUUUUCAGAAAGUUUUGACUGCGAUCGGGAAUUUAUGUAUUUGUUCUAUCACUGUUGGAAUGGUGAUCGAGAUAAUCGUAAUGUUCCGGAUUCAAGAUAGGCAGUAUCGGCCCGGUUUCUUGACUUACAUCAUCUUUCUUUUAUUAAUUUUAUUAUAUUUUUGUAUCAUUUUUGACAAUUUAUAUGAUUUAUACAGGGAGCGAUUACGAAAAGAAUGACAGGCGUAGAAGAAAUGGCAGGAAUGGACAUUAUUUGCAGUUCCAAAACCGGAACGUUGACUUUGAACAAGCUUACAGUUGACAAGAAUCUUAUCGAAGUAUUUGCCAAAGGAGUAGAUGCCGACACUGUCGUUUGUGAUGGCGGCCCGAGCCACUAGAACCAAAAAAAAAGAUGCCAUUGAUGCUGCAAUAGUCGGAUUGGCUUGGUCAAUCUGAAUAUAUAUUCAGCAUAAGCUGUUAACUGGUCAUCUUUAUCCAUAACAGUUUCACAGCUCUAACUCAUUUUCUCGGAUCAGCGAUACAUAAAUUUAAAUGUUGCUCAACACCCCAACCAACAUUCAAACAGUUCCAUCAUUCAAAAUUCAUUGUACAUCCUAGAGAAAGUGCGUCCGAUGAGAGAAAUGCCAGUCAGCCAACACUCGAAUCUUCUCUACAUGAGGGUUUUUUUCAAAUAGUUAAAUUCCUUAACUAACAUAAAUGUGAUUGUGAUAUGAAGUUCUUACUUUAGCAGACAAACUCGACCUAGUUACGCUUAAAAACAGUGUGUGAAGUUCGAAUCUUUGACUCGACUUACAAGUACUUUGAGGUUAUCUUUGUUGACCCUGCACAUGCGGCUAUCCGUAACGACCCACAGAUCAACUGGAUCUGUAACCCGGUGCACAAACACAGAGAGUUUCGCGGACUAACAUCUGCUGGAAAGAAAUACAGAGGUCUGCGUGGAAAGGGACACUUGAACUACAAGGCUCGCCCUUCAAGAAGGGCUACAUGGAAAAGGAACAACACUCUUUCUUGAGCCGUUAUCGUUGAAGGGUUUAUUAUAUGCAAGUUUGUUAUGGUGGUUACACCUUUUGUAGGGAUGUUUUUUUGGGCUGGAGACUUGCAGUUUUUUUAUUAAAUUUUGUUCGAAACUUUGUUUUGUUU